AACGAACGCUGGCGGCAUGCCUAACACAUGCAAGUCGAACGAGACCUUCGGGCCUAGUGGCGCACGGGUGCGUAACGCGUGGGAACCUGCCCUUAGGUUCGGAAUACCUCCCCGAAAGGGGUGCUAAUACCGGAUAAUGUCUUCGGACCAAAGAUUUGUCGCGUUUGGAUGGGCCCGCGUUGGAUUCGCUAGUUGGUAGUGUACUAGCCUUGCAAGGCGACGAUCCAUAGCUGGUCUGAGAGGAUGAUCAGCCACGCUGGGACUGAGACACGGCCCAGACUCCUACGGGAGGGAGCAGAGGAGAAUACUGGGCAAUGGGGGAAAGUCUGGUCCAGCAAUGCCGGGGGAGAGAGGAAGGGCUUAGGGUUGUAAAGCUCUUUGACACGGGAUGAUAAUGACAGUACCGGGAGAAGAAGCUCCGGCUAACUCCGUG
rnacentral:rRNA from 1 species